GUGACGUUAAUUUGUAAGUCGCUCUGGAUAAGAGUGGCUGCUAAAUGACUUAAA
rfam:Salmo salar isolate Sally breed double haploid chromosome ssa27, whole genome shotgun sequence.